GCCAGAGGUCACUUGGAGACGUUGAUACGAGAGGGUGGGAAAAAACGAUCAAUGCACCCGAGGGGUUACAAGAGCAAAACGAGCAAGGCGGGUCGGUCACUGACCUGUGGGUGAGGGCGAGGGGCGUGCUGGCCGGCCACGACCCCGGGCCCCACGAGUGCUCUCCCGUGAUGAGGAGCGAGUGGCCGCGCGACCACGGGAAGUGGAGCGCUCCCGAGACGAUGAAGCUCGAUCCUCCCUGACUGCAACCGGAGCCAGCAAGGCCACGCCUCUCACCCCCUUCGGUACAAGGCCAGCUCACUGUUGAGUGUCUUGAGCCUUGCACGCAGACUGCGCUCUGACGCCUUCACCUCCUCGAGCUGCAGAGGGAAACAGGGACCACCGAGUUCCAGAGCAGGCCGAUGUCCACCACGGCGCCCCCUCCCUGCAUCCUCCCUCUCACCUCCUUAGCCAGUCGGCGACAAUCCUGGCUGCGGCGGGCAGCAGCCCGACCCCCGAGGCCACGCUCCUGCCGUAACUCCAGCUCUAGGCCCCUCACCAGCCCACGCAGGGACUCGGCCUCCUGGCGUGCUGCCCGCCCCGCCAGAGCCUCCUCUCGGGAGCGGCCCAGCUGCACCUCCAGCUCCCGCUUCUCGGACGCCAAGCGGGUCACCCUGCGAGGCGGGGGAGGGGAACUGAGCACUCUGUGAGCCCCUGCUCUCUGCUCCACAGAUGGCAGUCCUCAAGCCCCUACAGGAAGGAGGAAUGCAGUCCCCGGAGAGGGGUCUGUUCCUGUCAACUCCCUCAGAAGCGAGAAGUGUGCUGAAGCCACUUCACUUUCACCCAUCCCCAAACAGGCACAUCUACCCUAGUGACGUGGUGACCUGGCUAAAAGAUGCCUGCAGCAAGCCUAGUCCAACUGACCUUGUUCCACCUCCAAGCCUUCCCUAGCCACAUUUUCUAUUUGCCAGCCAAAACUAACUGAUUCAAGCGCUAG